CCGAGGCAUGAGCCGCCCCUCUGGGAUCGACCUUGGCGCCUAGCGAGAGGAGGCCGGGUGUCUGGAGCCCCCACACACAGCCGCUGCCUUUGGCUUCAGUCUUUGGGGUUCCUUAAAGAAAGGACUCCCUCUCAUCACUUGUAAGCUCCUGUCUCCUCCAUAGGAGCAAAAGGACUGCAGAGGUUCCAGAACUCAUCCUCUGGAGACACCACCCAGGGAGGAGAGGAAAGAAGUCUUUUUUCUCAGAAGCCCCCAGCAAACAUCUGUUCAUCCCUGCAUGCCAGUAGAUACAUGCUCCUCUCUGAAUCAAGGUAAUGACAAACACGAGCUAAUGUGGAUUUUCACCCCUCCAAAAGCUAACAUAUGGAGCAGCAGUUUUCGGCGGACACAACAUCUUUGUUUAUAUGUGGUGCUGAGGAUCGAACCCAGGCUGCACGCAUGCCAGGUAAGCGCGCUACCGCUUGAGCCACAUCCCCAGCCCUUUGUUUUGUUUUUUAGCAAUUAGCAUUUUGCUUUAUUUUUAGGGGGGUUUCUUUACCUGUAGGAUUACAUACCUGAACUGGUCCCAAGCCUGGGAGGGUACAUGAAGGGGACUCCCUGGUGAAUUCUCUCGUGCUCCUCAAGGCAAUGAACUAUUUCUCUGUCUCUGUUGCCUCCCUCCCACCAAUACCACACAUUGGUCAUCUCCCGGCGCCUGUACCACUCUCCCCUCCCUGCUCCCUCAGCGAUAACAUGGGGACAGAAGUGAUGGCCACAAUAGACCACUUACCUGGCACACUGCAUCCUGCUCUCUGCAGCCACGUAGCAGGCAGGAUUUCUCCUACCCCAACUUGGCACACGGUGGUAGACGGAUUUUUGUUACGGCCAAAG